AGCUCCAAUAGCGUAUAUUAAAGUUGUUGCAGUUAAAACGCUCGUAGUCGGAUUUCGGGGCCUGCCUGCUGGUCUGCCGAUGGGUAUGCACUGGCAGGCGCGUCCUUCCUUCCGGAGACUGUCCCUACUCUUAACUGAGCGGGGUCGGGAGACGGAUCGUUUACUUUGAAAAAAUCAGAGUGUUUCAAGCAGGCAGCUCGCUCUUGCAUGGAUUAGCAUGGGAUAAUGAAAUAGGACUUUGGUGCUAUUUUGUUGGUUUCGAACACCGAAGUAAUGAUUAACAGGGACAGUCAGGGGGGCACUCGUAUUCCGCCGAGAGAGGUGAAAUUCUCAGACCAGCGGAAGACGAACCACUGCGAAAGC
rnacentral:rRNA from 1 species